CUCAAAGGAAUUGACGGGGGCCCGCACAAGCAGUGGAGUAUGUGGUUUAAUUCGACGCAACGCGAAGAACCUUACCAGGGCUUGACAUAUACAGGAAUAUGCUAGAGAUAGUAUAGCUCUUCGGAGUCUGUAUACAGGUGGUGCAUGGUUGUCGUCAGCUCGUGUCGUGAGAUGUUGGGUUAAGUCCCGCAACGAGCGCAACCCCUGUUCUUAGUUGCCAGCGAGUAAUGUCGGGAACUCUAAGAAGACUGCCGGUGAUAAAUCGGAGGAAGGUGGGGACGACGUCAAAUCAUCAUGCCCUUUAUGUCCUGGGCUACACACGUACUACAAUGGCUGUAACAAAGGGAAGCGAAGCCGCGAGGUGGAGCAAAACCCAAAAAAGCAGUCUCAGUUCGGAUUGAAGGCUGAAAUUCGCCUUUAUGAAGCCGGAAUUGCUAGUAAUGGCAGGUCAGCAUACUGCCGUGAAUACGUUCCCGGGCCUUGUACACACCGCCCGUCACACCAUGAGAGUUGGGAAUACCCGAAGCCUGUGAGCUAACUUUUAGAGGCAGCAGUCGAAGGUAGAAUCAAUGAUUGGGGUGAAGUCGUAACAAGGUAGCCGUAUCGGAAGGUGCGGCUG
rnacentral:rRNA from 1 species